CUCAAAGUGCUGUCUCCAGUCCGGCCAAUCUGUCGGUUUAUCAAAAGAAAAGCUCGCUGGGGAAUUAAACUUCACCUUUCAGUCGGCAAUCCAUACUUUGUCUCUUCUGUGACUCCGGUCACUUCUGACACCAUGUAGAAUGAGCCCAGGCGAGUUUCUUUACUAAUUCGGUUUUAUUAACUUUGCCACCCAUUCAGCAUACAACUCAUAACAUAACAUGCGGCUUCUCAUGCCGCGACCAAGCAUAGACAAGUUUUUGUUCUGCUGUAAAAGAUGUCGUAACACUGCUGUAACACACUUAACUUGCUCUACAUAUGUGCAUAUGUGACACACGGUACUACCAAACCAGGAAAGCUAACAGAAAGAAUAAUUCGGUAAUUCCGUUAAUUCAAAUUUGGCAGGUGAGGCAGAGUUGACCAGGGUAGCAGGCAAGCAGGUGGGAGUACUGAGGAAAGAUGAGAAAGUGGCAAUGGCGCCACCAGGCGGGCCUGGGGUAGCCGCGGCCACCCCUACAAAUCUGCUGGCCACCCCACUGGCAACCCCACUGACCAGUGACAAAUAUCGAUUGCCAGUUAAACUCACACCACGGCAAGGACAAGGCUCAGAUGGCGCACACUUAGCCAAUCAGAGGCGACAAAGGCAGUUCCUUCCCCCUUGAUUGGCUCAUUGUCUAACAGUGAUGUCAAUCACUCAUUCAUUUCAUUGGUUCUGAGUAGAUUGCAAACUCCGACAGCAUCGCCAUUGAUCCGCAUCAAUCAGCAGCACCGAUCUGAAGCGAGGACUAUGAGUAAGUCAUAAUUUCUUUUGUAAAAAGUAGGGGGAGAAGUAAUAUUCGUCGUGACGUGCUUUUUAAGUGCCAAAAGGUGCUGCUACAGCAACCUGUUAAAGCAGCACUGCAGAAGUUCAGGCAGCCGCAGCUGCAGAAGAGGGACGGUUAGCAGAGAUAAUGGGCACAGAGGCGAGGCAGGGGUCAGCAGCAGGUGUUCGACCUGCUCCUGGACCAACAGGUAAAAUUAUGCCAUUAAUAAUGAAAUUUAUUGCUAGGCUAGAUGCUAACAUCAUCUGGAAAUGUAUGCUUAGAGUGUGUUUAUUAAGUUAUUAACCACGAUAUAAUCACUUUGAUUUUGUUUGAUUAGUUUGAAUAUAAAUGGCUAUAGGUUAUUAAAUAAUUACUAUAGAGAAGGGUCAAAUAUUAUUAUUAUUACUAUAAUGAUAAUUAUUUUAAUGUCAGCAUAACUGAUUUUGCCUCUUGUUUCAUCAUAGAUAUCGCCCAGUCAAGAGCAGAACAGCCAAAGCAGCCACAUCUGCAAAACUUCCCGCGAACCCAUCAAGGGGACAGAAGACGGUGUUUUUCAAAAGACUGGUACAGCAAACAUAAAUGGCUGGAAUAUUGUCAAAGUAAGGACUCUGCCUUCUUAUGCUUGUCGCCAUUUCAAGAAGAGGGUUUCAAAAAUUGGAAAAAGGCAACCUUCAACGAUGGAGGACUUUUAGGCCAUGCUAAAUCCGAAGUACAUACUAAUGCAAUGUUAGCAUGGGCCGAAUAUCAAAAGUCUACAGAAAGCAUGUCCUCUCUCUCAGCCUCCUUAAAUGCUGAAUAUACCAAGUUAGUGAGGGAAAACCGAGGAUACAUAAAAAUUGUCAGAGAAACCCUGCUCCUCGCUGCUACACAAAACAUCGCACAAAGAGCACAUAAAGGAUCAGAGGGUGAGAAUAAAGGAAAUUUUCUCUCCAUCAUGGAUCUGAUGGCCAAACACAAUCCCAUGGUUAAAAAAAAAAAAAAAAAGACUGGUCAACGAAACGCAAUGUACCUUGGGCAUGAGACCCAAAGUGAAAUUCUCGAUCGUCUUGCUGAAACGGUCCGCACCUCAAUAACUACCGAAGUAGCCCAAAGUGAGGCUUUUAGUAUUUUGGCUGACGAGACCAAAGACAUGAGCAAGAAGGAAUAGAUGUCCUUUGUAAUUAGAUACUAUUGCAAUAGGUCAGAAUGUGAAAGCUUCUUUGCCUUAAAAGUAGCACAGCGCCUGGAUGCUGCAGCACUUUCACAGAAAAUAGCACAAAUUUUGCAGACCCAUGGCCAGACCCAUUUCUGUGCAGGGCUCUAGUCUUCUUUGAUGCUACGAUUCCUGACUUCUCGAAGUCAUUAACCAGUGUUUUGGUGGUUGUUCUAGCAUCUGUAGACGCAUCUCUCACAAGUUUUCUUUCCAGAGUCUUUGAAAUCUUUGGCUUCCUCCCUCUGCCAGACUUGUUCUAUACUGUGUGGCUCUCUUUGAAUUUCUUAAUAACUCCACUUCUUGAAACUUGGAAAUACUGUGAUAACUUUGUAGACCCUUCUCUGCGUUGUAAGAAUCAACAAUUACUUUUCUCUUUUUGUUUUUGGCAUGAUACUUUCUCAAGUAAUAGCUCAAAUCCUUAAGCUUUUAUACUGUGUAAAGUGGAGGACAACCCCCGGUUUUAACUUGAUUGAUUGAUUACAAGCUGUGUCUAUUACAAAGUACAUUAGUAGCAUGGCUUAGCAUGGAUUUGCGUGGUGGUUUUGAGACGCUGGCUGUCGAGCUUUCGCUGUUUCCUGUCAUCAGAGUCGGGCCGUAUUCUGGCUGAAGGCUGGGAGCCGGGCGUAAUAAUUCACGCGCUGCAUUGAAUUUCUGAGUGAUUGAGCUGCAUUUUUCUGCGGCUGUCUCCCCUGUUGCCUGAAAAGCUGUGGCUACAUUGACGGGCGGCUCUACUUCCUGAAGCGGGCUACUGAUGUUCUGUCUGCAGUUCAUCGCGGCAAGCUCUCUGCUCAUCGGCAGCUGUUUUGUUGUUGUAUGAUGUUUUUAAAAAAAAUAAUAAAAUAAAAUAACAACGAUCUUGGUGUGCGUAUGCCUCUUGCCCAGCACGCCUGUUAUUGAGAGUAUUAUUAUUAUUAGGGUUGUUGCUGUUUUUUUUUUUUUGUAUUAGAAUUGUUAGUAUUAGAAUUGUUAGUAUUAGAAUUAUUAGUGUUAGUAUAGAUCUUGGGAUUCUUGAUUAGUUAGUUUUGUUUAUUUACUUAUUUGUUGUGAUUGCAUAUUUAAAUUAUUCAGUUAUCUUUUUUUUUUGUUUUGGUUUGUAAAUUUUGUUUUCCUUUUUUUUGGUUUAUUGGGUUGACUGGGCGAGGGAGUAAGGGGUGCAUGUUGGCGUAAUUGGCCUUGGUGGUGACCUCGUGGGCCCAGCCUAGUGUGGUGGUGACCCUUCCCUUCUCCCCUCCAGUUCGUCAUCGCUGCCUGGUAAACCCUCAGCCCUGUGCCUGGUGGCACACUUAAUUAAGUCAGGGGGGGCCCUUGAGGAUUAGAUUAAUACUGUGCCACUUACUACCGUUAUGUCUUGGCAUCGCCAACAAGGUCGGUUUUAGAAAGAGUGUACAUUUUUAAAUAUUGUUAAUAAAUUUCAUUUUUCUGUACUUAAAGUGGAAUCGCGUCAGUCUCCGGUGCCUUUCGUACCUGUGUGACCUUUCUUGUGGUCUGUAUUAGAGUGGUGGUCCUCCCUAAAUAGAUCUCCUGGGGGUGAUACUCCCCCAGGUGGCGUUGUCGGACACGUGAUAGAUAGCAAACAUACAUCUAACCCUCGUAGCCUUGCCACACUACUGUAUUCAGGCCAUCCUGAUCUGAUGACUUUGGUGACAGCCUGUAGCUCGUUGUCAGCUGCUGUUGCCAUUCUGAUACUCUCCAGCUUAGUUGGGGAUGCUGGGAUGCCUUGUAACACCGUGGCUAGAUGCCACGUCACCUUGUGUGUCAGUCUUUAGAUGUUUUUGAGGGCUGCGGGACAGGGCAUUUGCCUGGUACAUAUUCUGCUACUGGACUGUACUUCAGGAGCCUCAUUAGUAGAUGUUGGCAUCUCACGAGGACAUUGUCUAGGCUUCGGUUGUCGUCAAGUGGUACCAAUGGCUUGUGGUCAGUCCCCAGCCUGAACUGAUCUAAGCCGCACAGAUAUUUGUCGAAUUUCUCAAAAGCCCAAACGCACGCCAGGUGCUUUUUUUUUUCUAUCUGAGCAUAGCGUGUUUCGGCUUCUGUGAGACAUCUGGAGAAGUAAGCUACCGGUUUCCACUUCUCUUCGUGGAGCUGGGGGAGUACACCCCCAAGACCAUAGCUGCUGGCAUGGACAGACACACUGAUGCAGCAACAUCAUAGAAGGCAAGAACUGGUGCUGGUUUUCGCAUCUCUUUAAUGCUCUGAAAGACUGAUUGUUGUGAGUGGCUCCAGGUCCAGAUGUUCUUGCUCUUCAGAAGCAGUGGCUGACCUAUUGUGGAUAAAUUAGGGACACACCUUCCCAGGUAGUUCACCAUGCCCAGGAUUCUUUUUAGCUCCUGAACAUUUUCUAGUGGGGACAACAAGCCCGCUGACUCACCUUCUCAAGCCUUCUCGAGCCUAACAUUGUGUUGGUCCAUUGUGGUCUCAUAGACGAGCAUGUCAUCCAUGAAGACUUCAACACCUUCCAGCCCCUGCAGAGUUUCUAGCAUUUUCCGCUGGAAGAUUUCAGGUGCGCUGGAAAUCCCGAAGGGUAAUCUUUUAAAACAGUAUCUGCCAAAAGAUGUUAUGAAGGUUAUUAGCUUGCAGCUGUCUGGAUGCAGUGGGAUUUGCCAAAACCCGCUCGUGGCAUCAAGAGAGGAGAACACAGCUGCUCCACUCAGCUUGGCUGUUCUUUCAUCUGAGGUAGGUAAGAUAUACCAUUCUCUUUUGACUGACUCAUUUAGCCUUUUUAAGUCCACACAGAUUCUGGCUUUGCCGGUUUUGCUUCACCAUAGGCGCACACCAUUUGGUUGGCUGUGUCACCCGCUGAAUGGCACCGCUCUUCUCCAUCCUGUGUAGUUCCUGUUUUACCUUUUGUAACAUAGGGAAGGGCACACAGCGAGCAGUGUGCACAACAUAUGAUUGAGCAUCAUCUUUCAGCUGGAUUUUGGCUGGUUCAUUUUUUAGAGUGCCAUGCUCACCAAAAGUUUGCAGAAAUCCACUUGUGGCACAUGUCAUUUCAUCGACUCGCUGUACUAAGCUAAUUUUCACUGAUAAAGGUUGCCUGAGCAGGUUGCUGACACUCUGGCCACAGACUACAUAUGCUUCUAAUGGGUAUUCCUUUCCCUUGUAGCUAACUGUAGCAUUGAUACAGCCAAGAUACCAAAGCUCACCUGCUGGGCUGAAAUGUCAGCUGAUUUCAGAGUUCUUGGUGGAGUGAGUUUCUGAAAGGAGUCCUCGCUUAACAUGUUGACAUCAGCUCCCGUGUCUAUUUUAAAUUCCAUCUGGAUGGAAUCCACCUUUAGUUGCACAGUCUACUGUUCUUUCUCCUCUGCACUGCACACUGAACCUAAAUAAAAAAUUUCCAGUCAGCUUGCUCAGUCUCUGUGAUUUCAUUCAUGGACUUGUUGCUGUUGCGGCACAUCCUGGCCCACUGUCCCAUUUUAUGGCUAUGGUGGCAUGUGGUUCUCCCUGCAGGACAUCUUUCAUCUUUGCUGUGUUGUGCUUUUCCACAUUUACUGUCAUUUCCUCCCCAUUUUCUGUCUUUAGACUUGCCUUGUUGUUGUUUCCAGUUAUUUUUAUUCUGUUUGUAUUGCACCUCAUGCAUUGUACCCAUAGUGUUUCCUAGCAGGCUCACUUGUGCUGCGACCUCCUGACGGUCUGUAUCAUCAGUGCAAGUGUCAGGUCCGGCAUCUGCUGCAGCCUGCAUGAGAGCUCCUUCUCUAGUAUCGCAAAGACGAUAUGGUUGGGGAUAUUUUCCUCUCGGCCUGUGCCGAACUCACAGUGCUUUGAUAGAUCAUACAGGGCUCGGAUGGAACACUCCACUUUCUCCCCUGGCCGCUGGAUAUGCUGGUGGAAACAUGCUCUCUCGUGUAUAAUAUUCCUCAGGGGGAAAAAGUAGUCGUCAAACUUCUUCCCCACAAUGCCAAAGUCAUUCCUGUGCCCUUUGUCAGCGAAAAUGAAUGAUUUGUAUAUAUUUUCUGUCUUGUUGCCCAUGGCGUAGAUUAGGUAGCACACCUGAACUUUCCCGUCGUCUUUGUCUAGUUUUGUGGCGAGUCUGAACCGCUCAAAGUGCUGUCUCCAGUCCGGCCAAUCUGUCGGUUUAUCAAAAGAAAAGCUCGCUAGGGAAUUAAACUUCACCUUUCAGUCGGCAAUCCAUACUUUGUCUCUUCUGUGACUCCGGUCACUUCUGACACCAUGUAGAAUGAGCCCAGGCGAGUUUCUUUACUAAUUCGGUUUUAUUAACUUUGCCACCCAUUCAGCAUACAACUCAUAACAUAACAUGCGGCUUCUCAUGCCGCGACCAAGCAUAGACAAGUUUUUGUUCUGCUGUAAAAGAUGUCGUAACACUGCUGUAACACACUUAACUUGCUCUACAUAUGUGCAUAUGUGACACACGGUACUACCAAACCAGGAAAGCUAACAGAAAGAAUAAUUCGGUAAUUCCGUUAAUUCAAAUUUGGCAGGUGAGGCAGAGUUGACCAGGGUAGCAGGCAAGCAGGUGGGAGUACUGAGGAAAGAUGAGAAAGUGGCAAUGGCGCCACCAGGCGGGCCUGGGGUAGCCGCGGCCACCCCUACAAAUCUGCUGGCCACCCCACUGGCAACCCCACUGACCAGUGACAAAUAUCGAUUGCCAGUUAAACUCACACCACGGCAAGGACAAGGCUCAGAUGGCGCACACUUAGCCAAUCAGAGGCGACAAAGGCAGUUCCUUCCCCCUUGAUUGGCUCAUUGUCUAACAGUGAUGUCAAUCACUCAUUCAUUUCAUUGGUUCUGAGUAGAUUGCAAACUCCGACAGCAUCGCCAUUGAUCCGCAUCAAUCAGCAGCACCGAUCUGAAGCGAGGACUAUGAGUAAGUCAUAAUUUCUUUUGUAAAAAGUAGGGGGAGAAGUAAUAUUCGUCGUGACGUGCUUUUUAAGUGCCAAAAGGUGCUGCUACAGCAACCUGUUAAAGCAGCACUGCAGAAGUUCAGGCAGCCGCAGCUGCAGAAGAGGGACGGUUAGCAGAGAUAAUGGGCACAGAGGCGAGGCAGGGGUCAGCAGCAGGUGUUCGACCUGCUCCUGGACCAACAGGUAAAAUUAUGCCAUUAAUAAUGAAAUUUAUUGCUAGGCUAGAUGCUAACAUCAUCUGGAAAUGUAUGCUUAGAGUGUGUUUAUUAAGUUAUUAACCACGAUAUAAUCACUUUGAUUUUGUUUGAUUAGUUUGAAUAUAAAUGGCUAUAGGUUAUUAAAUAAUUACUAUAGAGAAGGGUCAAAUAUUAUUAUUAUUACUAUAAUGAUAAUUAUUUUAAUGUCAGCAUAACUGAUUUUGCCUCUUGUUUCAUCAUAGAUAUCGCCCAGUCAAGAGCAGAACAGCCAAAGCAGCCACAUCUGCAAAACUUCCUGCGAACCCAUCAAGGGGACAGAAGACGGUGUUUUUCAAAAGACUGGUACAGCAAACAUAAAUGGCUGGAAUAUUGUCAAAGUAAGGACUCUGCCUUCUUAUGCUUGUCGCCAUUUCAAGAAGAGGGUUUCAAAAAUUGGAAAAAGGCAACCUUCAACGAUGGAGGACUUUUAGGCCAUGCUAAAUCCGAAGUACAUACUAAUGCAAUGUUAGCAUGGGCCGAAUAUCAAAAGUCUACAGAAAGCAUGUCCUCUCUCUCAGCCUCCUUAAAUGCUGAAUAUACCAAGUUAGUGAGGGAAAACCGAGGAUACAUAAAAAUUGUCAGAGAAACCCUGCUCCUCGCUGCUACACAAAACAUCGCACAAAGAGCACAUAAAGGAUCAGAGGGUGAGAAUAAAGGAAAUUUUCUCUCCAUCAUGGAUCUGAUGGCCAAACACAAUCCCAUGGUUAAAAAAAAAAAAAAAAAGACUGGUCAACGAAACGCAAUGUACCUUGGGCAUGAGACCCAAAGUGAAAUUCUCGAUCGUCUUGCUGAAACGGUCCGCACCUCAAUAACUACCGAAGUAGCCCAAAGUGAGGCUUUUAGUAUUUUGGCUGACGAGACCAAAGACAUGAGCAAGAAGGAAUAGAUGUCCUUUGUAAUUAGAUACUAUUGCAAUAGGUCAGAAUGUGAAAGCUUCUUUGCCUUAAAAGUAGCACAGCGCCUGGAUGCUGCAGCACUUUCACAGAAAAUAGCACAAAUUUUGCAGACCCAUGGCCAGACCCAUUUCUGUGCAGGGCUCUAGUCUUCUUUGAUGCUACGAUUCCUGACUUCUCGAAGUCAUUAACCAGUGUUUUGGUGGUUGUUCUAGCAUCUGUAGACGCAUCUCUCACAAGUUUUCUUUCCAGAGUCUUUGAAAUCUUUGGCUUCCUCCCUCUGCCAGACUUGUUCUAUACUGUGUGGCUCUCUUUGAAUUUCUUAAUAACUCCACUUCUUGAAACUUGGAAAUACUGUGAUAACUUUGUAGACCCUUCUCUGCGUUGUAAGAAUCAACAAUUACUUUUCUCUUUUUGUUUUUGGCAUGAUACUUUCUCAAGUAAUAGCUCAAAUCCUUAAGCUUUUAUACUGUGUAAAGUGGAGGACAACCCCCGGUUUUAACUUGAUUGAUUGAUUACAAGCUGUGUCUAUUACAAAGUACAUUAGUAGCAUGGCUUAGCAUGGAUUUGCGUGGUGGUUUUGAGACGCUGGCUGUCGAGCUUUCGCUGUUUCCUGUCAUCAGCAGAGUCGGGCCGUAUUCUGGCUGAAGGCUGGGAGCCGGGCGUAAUAAUUCACGCGCUGCAUUGAAUUUCUGAGUGAUUGAGCUGCAUUUUUCUGCGGCUGUCUCCCCUGUUGCCUGAAAAGCUGUGGCUACAUUGACGGGCGGCUCUACUUCCUGAAGCGGGCUACUGAUGUUCUGUCUGCAGUUCAUCGCGGCAAGCUCUCUGCUCAUCGGCAGCUGUUUUGUUGUUGUAUGAUGUUUUUAAAAAAAAAAAUAAAAUAAAAUAACAACGAUCUUGGUGUGCGUAUGCCUCUUGCCCAGCACGCCUGUUAUUGAGAGUAUUAUUAUUAUUAGGGUUGUUGCUGUUUUUUUUUUUUGUAUUAGAAUUGUUAGUAUUAGAAUUGUUAGUAUUAGAAUUAUUAGUGUUAGUAUAGAUCUUGGGAUUCUUGAUUAGUUAGUUUUGUUUAUUUACUUAUUUGUUGUGAUUGCAUAUUUAAAUUAUUCAGUUAUCUUUUUUUUUUGUUUUGGUUUGUAAAUUUUGUUUUCCUUUUUUUUGGUUUAUUGGGUUGACUGGGCGAGGGAGUAAGGGGUGCAUGUUGGCGUAAUUGGCCUUGGUGGUGACCUCGUGGGCCCAGCCUAGUGUGGUGGUGACCCUUCCCUUCUCCCCUCCAGUUCGUCAUCGCUGCCUGGUAAACCCUCAGCCCUGUGCCUGGUGGCACACUUAAUUAAGUCAGGGGGGGCCCUUGAGGAUUAGAUUAAUACUGUGCCACUUACUACCGUUAUGUCUUGGCAUCGCCAACAAGGUCGGUUUUAGAAAGAGUGUACAUUUUUAAAUAUUGUUAAUAAAUUUCAUUUUUCUGUACUUAAAGUGGAAUCGCGUCAGUCUCCGGUGCCUUUCGUACCUGUGUGACCUUUCUUGUGGUCUGUAUUAGAGUGGUGGUCCUCCCUAAAUAGAUCUCCUGGGGGUGAUACUCCCCCAGGUGGCGUUGUCGGACACGUGAUAGAUAGCAAACAUACAUCUAACCCUCGUAGCCUUGCCACACUACUGUAUUCAGGCCAUCCUGAUCUGAUGACUUUGGUGACAGCCUGUAGCUCGUUGUCAGCUGCUGUUGCCAUUCUGAUACUCUCCAGCUUAGUUGGGGAUGCUGGGAUGCCUUGUAACACCGUGGCUAGAUGCCACGUCACCUUGUGUGUCAGUCUUUAGAUGUUUUUGAGGGCUGCGGGACAGGGCAUUUGCCUGGUACAUAUUCUGCUACUGGACUGUACUUCAGGAGCCUCAUUAGUAGAUGUUGGCAUCUCACGAGGACAUUGUCUAGGCUUCGGUUGUCGUCAAGUGGUACCAAUGGCUUGUGGUCAGUCCCCAGCCUGAACUGAUCUAAGCCGCACAGAUAUUUGUCGAAUUUCUCAAAAGCCCAAACGCACGCCAGGUGCUUUUUUUUUUCUAUCUGAGCAUAGCGUGUUUCGGCUUCUGUGAGACAUCUGGAGAAGUAAGCUACCGGUUUCCACUUCUCUUCGUGGAGCUGGGGGAGUACACCCCCAAGACCAUAGCUGCUGGCAUGGACAGACACACUGAUGCAGCAACAUCAUAGAAGGCAAGAACUGGUGCUGGUUUUCGCAUCUCUUUAAUGCUCUGAAAGACUGAUUGUUGUGAGUGGCUCCAGGUCCAGAUGUUCUUGCUCUUCAGAAGCAGUGGCUGACCUAUUGUGGAUAAAUUAGGGACACACCUUCCCAGGUAGUUCACCAUGCCCAGGAUUCUUUUUAGCUCCUGAACAUUUUCUAGUGGGGACAACAAGCCCACUGACUCACCUUCUCAAGCCUUCUCGAGCCUAACAUUGUGUUGGUCCAUUGUGGUCUCAUAGACGAGCAUGUCAUCCAUGAAGACUUCAACACCUUCCAGCCCCUGCAGAGUUUCUAGCAUUUUCCGCUGGAAGAUUUCAGGUGCGCUGGAAAUCCCGAAGGGUAAUCUUUUAAAACAGUAUCUGCCAAAAGAUGUUAUGAAGGUUAUUAGCUUGCAGCUGUCUGGAUGCAGUGGGAUUUGCCAAAACCCGCUCGUGGCAUCAAGAGAGGAGAACACAGCUGCUCCACUCAGCUUGGCUGUUCUUUCAUCUGAGGUAGGUAAGAUAUACCAUUCUCUUUUGACUGACUCAUUUAGCCUUUUUAAGUCCACACAGAUUCUGGCUUUGCCGGUUUUGCUUCACCAUAGGCGCACACCAUUUGGUUGGCUGUGUCACCCGCUGAAUGGCACCGCUCUUCUCCAUCCUGUGUAGUUCCUGUUUUACCUUUUGUAACAUAGGGAAGGGCACACAGCGAGCAGUGUGCACAACAUAUGAUUGAGCAUCAUCUUUCAGCUGGAUUUUGGCUGGUUCAUUUUUUAGAGUGCCAUGCUCACCAAAAGUUUGCAGAAAUCCACUUGUGGCACAUGUCAUUUCAUCGACUCGCUGUACUAAGCUAAUUUUCACUGAUAAAGGUUGCCUGAGCAGGUUGCUGACACUCUGGCCACAGACUACAUAUGCUUCUAAUGGGUAUUCCUUUCCCUUGUAGCUAACUGUAGCAUUGAUACAGCCAAGAUACCAAAGCUCACCUGCUGGGCUGAAAUGUCAGCUGAUUUCAGAGUUCUUGGUGGAGUGAGUUUCUGAAAGGAGUCCUCGCUUAACAUGUUGACAUCAGCUCCCGUGUCUAUUUUAAAUUCCAUCUGGAUGGAAUCCACCUUUAGUUGCACAGUCUACUGUUCUUUCUCCUCUGCACUGCACACUGAACCUAAAUAAAAAAUUUCCAGUCAG